CCUACGGGUGGCAGCAGUGAGGAAUAUUGGUCAAUGGACGCAAGUCUGAACCAGCCAUGCCGCGUGCAGGAAGACGGCUCUGUGAGUUGUAAACUGCUUUUGUACGAGGAUAAACGCAGAGACGCGUAUCUGUCUGAGAGUAUCGUACGAAUAAGGAUCGGCUAACUCCGUGCCAGCAGCCGCGGUAAUACGGAGGAUUCGAGCGUUAUCCGGAUUUAUUGGGUUUAAAGGGUGCGUAGGCGGUCGGAUAAGUUAGAGGUGAAAGCCCGAGGCUCAACUUCGGAAUUGCCUCUGAUACUGUCCGGCUAGAGAGUAGUUGCGGUAGGCGGAAUGUGUGGUGUAGCGGUGAAAUGCUGAGAGAUCAUACAGAACACCGAUUGCGAAGGCAGCCUGCCGGGGUGCGACUGACGCUGAGGCUCGAAGGUGCGGGUAUCAAACAGGAUUAGAUACCCUAGUAGUC
rnacentral:rRNA from 1 species